rnacentral:rRNA from 1 species
UGCGUCCUACGGGGCGCAGCAGUCGGGAAUAUUGCGCAAUGGAGGAAACUCUGACGCAGUGACGCCGCGUGCAGGAAGAAGGUUUUCGGAUUGUAAACUGCUUUAGACAGGGAAGAUAAUGACAGUACCUGUAGAAUAAGCUCCGGCUAACUACGUGCCAGCAGCCGCGGUAAUACGUAGGGAGCAAGCGUUAUCCGGAUUUAUUGGGUGUAAAGGGUGCGUAGACGGGAAUGCAAGUUAGUUGUGAAAUCCCUCGGCUUAACUGAGGAACUGCAACUAAAACUACAUUUCUUGAGUGCUGGAGG